UCAGAUAUUUUAUAAAUAAAAGUUUUAAGUAUCGAAUAAUUGGAGCCGUAGUAGCUGUCACUAUUUCCAAUGGGCAUGUUUGUUUCAUCGAAACUGGAUUUUGGGUUGAAAUGAAGUUCGGUGAAAAUUAUUUUUUCUUCGUCGUUUGUUUUGUAGUCAUGAAAGUGAAGUUUCAUUAGUUCAGCUGUUUGUUUGGUAAAAAAUAUAUGAUGUAAAACUAUAAUUUAUAUAUAAAUAAUAAAUAAUAUAAUUAUAUUUUUAUAUAAUUAAAAUUUAAUUUAAAGUAACUAAAUUAUUUUUUAUAUAUAAAUUAUAGUAAUAUAAUAAUAAAAUUUUAAAGUUAAAAAAUAUUAAUAAUUAAUUAAUUAAUUUUUAUUAUAUUUUAAUUGUACAAACUAAAUAAAAAAAAUAUAUUAAAACUUAACUAAUCAAUUUUUAUCGUAUUUUAAAUAUGUCAAAUGAUUAAAAGAAUAAUUAGUACCAUAAUUAAAUAUAUUUAAAUAUAACUAUAUUUACCUAGUAUAUUAUUUUAUUAUUUUUUCUUCACAUUUCUGAUGGACCGAAGUGAAUUACGCCUUUUUAGGUUAACUGAAGUUUCGACGGCCAACCAAAUAACAGAAGUUAUCAGUUUUUACUAAAAAUCACUUUUUUACUCGCACUUCCACCUCACUUCCUUGCAAACAAACAUCCCCUAAAAGUACUCCAUAUUGAGUUACUUCCCCCAAUAUUAAAUCACCUCAAUUUAGAUCCAAAAAAAACGUGCUCCGUACUUUAAUUGUUGACUUAAGUAAAGAUGAUUAUCUCAUGGAUUACGUGGCUAGAACGGACUUCAUCUUUUACUUAAUUUAGUUCGCGGGACAUGUUUUUUUUUACGCUACAAUGCAAAAAUUUUCGCACUAUUUUAAAUAAAAGUAGAGCACGAGUCAUUCAAACUUCAAAGAGAAGUAGCAAUUCGCAUUUUUACUUCCAACUUA
rnacentral:lncRNA from 1 species